rnacentral:tRNA from 1 species
CCCUCUGUGGUGUAGUUGGUAUCACACCGGACUGUAAAUCCGUUGGUCACCGGUUCGACUCCGGUCGGAGGGA